rnacentral:tRNA from 1 species
GCCGGGGUGGCGGAAGUGGCAGACGCAAGGGACUUAAAAUCCCUCGCCCCGUAAGGGGUGUACGGGUUCGAUUCCCGUCCCCGGCA